rnacentral:rRNA from 1 species
GAUGAACGCUGGCGGCGUGCCUAAUACAUGCAAGUCGAGCGAACGGACGAGAAGCUUGCUUCUCUGAUGUUAGCGGCGAACGGGUGAGUAACACGUGGAUAACCUACCUAUAAGACUGGGAUAACUUCGGGAGACCGUAGCUAAUACCGGAUAAUAUUUUGAACCGCAUGGUUCAAAAGUGAAAGACGGUCUUGCUGUCACUUAUAGAUGGAUCCGCGCUGCAUUAGCUAGUUGGUAAGGUAACGGCUUACCAAGGCAACGAUGCAUAGCCGACCUGAGAGGGUGAUCGGCCACACUGGAACUGAGACACGGUCCAGACUCCUACGGGAGGCAGCAGUAGGGAAUCUUCCGCAAUGGGCGAAAGCCUGACGGAGCAACGCCGCGUGAGUGAUGAAGGUCUUCGGAUCGUAAAACUCUGUUAUUAGGGAAGAACAUAUGUGUAAGUAACUGUGCACAUCUUGACGGUACCUAAUCAGAAAGCCACGGCUAACUACGUG